GCGCACAUCACUUCCGGCCCGGCCCGGGCUCUAUGAUGUCCAGCGCGGAGCCGCUGGGGCGGCGGCGGCCCGGGGUGGGGGUCGGAGUGGUGGUGACCAGCCGCGAGCAUCCUCGUUGCGUCCUCCUGGGUAAGAGGAAAGGGUCCUUUGGAGCCGGCAGUUUUCAGCUUCCGGGGGGUCAUCUGGAGUUCGGUGAGACCUGGGAAGAAUGUGCGCAAAGAGAAACCUGGGAAGAAGCAGCUCUUCACCUGAAAAAUGUCCGAUUUGCCUCGGUGGUGAAUUCUUUCACUGAGAAAGAGAAUUACCAUUACGUCACCAUAUUAAUGAAAGGAGAAGUAGAUUUGACUCAUGAUUCAGAACCAAAGAAUGUAGAACCUGAAAAAAAUGAAAGCAGAGAAACACUUAGUCGAAGAAAAAGCACUCAUACAAAGGUUGGGAAUGGGUUCCUUGGGAAGAAUUUCCUCCAGUAGACCAGCUCUUCUGGGCACUCCGAUGUUUAAAAGAGCAAGGCUAUGAUCCAUUUAAAGAAGAUCUGAACCAUCUGCUUAUUACUACAGAAGGAAGACCAUGAUCAGAAACAGCAUUAGUGGGGAAUCAAAACCUAGAAUUGUGGGCUGAAUUGUGUCCCUCCCCUCCAAAACUGAUCUAUUGAAGUCCUAAAGCCCAGCAUCUCAGAAUGUGACCAUAUUUGGAAAGAGUCUUGUAAAAGGUAACUGAGGUAAAAUGAGGUCUUAUGGGUCCAAUAAGAAGAGAUUGCCCUUCAAAGAGAUGAGGGCACAGAUACAGACCAACAGACCAUCUUCAAGCCAAGGGAUCUUUGGGACUCUUUGCUGAAGUGCCCUUAACAGUUGGGAUGAUUUGCUAGAGUGACCUUAACAAUAUGGACCAUCUGCAAGCCAAGGACAGAAGUCUCAGAAGAAACUAUACUUCCAACACCUUCAUCUUGAA